rnacentral:rRNA from 1 species
UACGGAGGGGGCUAGCGUUGUUCGGAAUUACUGGGCGUAAAGCGCACGUAGGCGGACUGUUAAGUCGGGGGUGAAAUCCUGGAGCUCAACUCCAGAACUGCCUUCGAUACUGGCAAUCUCGAGUCCGGAAGAGGUAAGUGGAACUCCUAGUGUAGAGGUGGAAUUCGUAGAUAUUAGGAAGAACACCAGUGGCGAAGGCGGCUUACUGGUCCGGUACUGACGCUGAGGUGCGAAAGCGUGGGGAGCAAACAGG